CAGAGACCAGUCUCCUGGCAGGGGAGGAGGGUUAGGAGGUCAAGGUGCCUUCCCGAGAACUGCAGUCUCUAUCCCUUCAGAGCCACCUCCCAGGCAGAGCUGCCGGUCAUGACCACAGCUCAGAGCCCGGCCCCUCCGCAAUGGCCCGCACAGCACCAAAGUGCUCCGGAAUCUGCAGGCAGAAGCAGGUGUCCAGGACCAGCCUGGGACCGCUCCUCCCCUCCU